rfam:Helianthus annuus linkage group 14, whole genome shotgun sequence.
AGGCCGUGAUGGGGACACUUGCGUAAUAGCUCCUUGAACCUUUCCCAAGUUUCAUAUAAGGAUUCCCCAUCCUCUUGUGAGUAUGUAUUAAUUUCAGCCAUUAAUUU